GUAAAAUGGCUGAGUAAGCAUUAGACUGUAAAUCUAAAGACAGAGGAGCGACCCUCUUUUUACC
rnacentral:tRNA from 2 species